rnacentral:rRNA from 1 species
AGCAGCCGCGGUAAUUCCAGCUCCAAUAGCGUAUAUUAAAGUUGUUGCAGUUAAAAAGCUCGUAGUUGAAUUUCGGGAUCAAAUUGUCGGUCGUGCCUCGGUACGUACUGGUAUUAUUGGUUCCUCCCUUCUGACGAACCACGAUGUCAUUAAUUUGGUGUCAUGGGAAAUCAGGACUGUUACUUUGAAAAAAUUAGAGUGUUUAAAGCAGGCUCGCGCUUGAAUACAUUAGCAUGGAAUAAUGAAAUAGGACGUUUGAUUCUAUUUUGUUGGUUUCUAGGAUCGACGUAAUGAUUAAUAGGGAUAGUUGGGGGCAUUAGUAUUCAAUUGUCAGAGGUGAAAUUCUUGGAUUUAUUGAAGACUAACUACUGCGAAAGCAUUUGCCAAGGAUGUUUUCAUUAAUCAAGAACGAAAGUUAGGGAUCGAAGACGAUCAGAUACCGUCGUAGUCUUAACCAUAAACUAUGACCGACUACGGGAUCGGAUGAUGUUAAUUUUUAAUGUACUCAUUCGGCGUCCUU